UCUCUUUCUCAACCAACUCACCAUGCAUUAACUUGUAACUUAUUUUGUUUCCAGGACCUACUCUCUGUUCACUGUCAAUCCAGUAUGAGGGAAUUCCACGUUCCUCUGCAAUCUCCUGUAGAUGUGAAGUGUUACUUGAGUUCCAGCCACCAAUCACUAACAUAAGAUCCAGCUUUUGCUCAACCAGCUUAUACAUUGCAUCUUGACGCUCUUGUGUGGCAUCGCAUAUAGUGUUGAAACUUACGAAGUGGUUGUUAACAUUUUCCACCCCAUAUUUUUGCAUCAUGGUCCUCUCGACCAACUUCCCAAUAUCUUCUGUUUCUCCCUUCAACAUAGUUGUUUGGUUUGCAAUACCAGCUUUUACAAGGUCAACAUCCGGAUCAAACCCUUCAGAAACUGCAUAUUUAAAUUUCUGCAUAAAUGCCUCUUUGGUUGAGCUAGAACCAUCAAGUUUACCUCCAAGAAUAUAAUCACAGACAUAAGUUGCCUCUGCCAUGUUCUUCACAAUGAUGUAUUUCCCAGCAAAGGAUGCAGUCGCAACAGUUUCCUCAUGAGCAUAUUUACCAUGGAUAAUGGAGGUAUAUUCUCCCUUCUUGUGCUUUUCAACCGUGUUCCAAACCUUAGUCACCCACGGGCAGGUUGUAUCAACAAUUUGUACGUUUUUAUCACUCAAAACCAACAUUUCAUCAACAGCAGCCCCAAAAGCAGG
rnacentral:misc_RNA from 1 species